UGGGGAAUAUUGGGCAAUGGGCGAAAGCCUGACCCAGCAACGCCGCGUGAGGGAAGAAGGGUUUCGGCUCGUAAACCUCUGUCCUAUGGGACGAAGGAAGUGACGGUACCAUAGGAGGAAGCCCCGGCUAACUACGUGCCAGCAGCCGCGGUAAUACGUAGGGGGCGAGCGUUGUCCGGAAUGAUUGGGCGUAAAGGGCGCGUAGGCGGCCUGUUAAGUCUGGAGUGAAAGUCCUGCUUUCAAGGUGGGAAUUGCUUGGAUACCGAUGGGCUGGGAGUGCAGGAGAGGAAAGCGGAAUUACCGGUGUAGCGGUGAAAUGCGUAGAGAUCGGUAGGAACACCAGUGGCGAAGGCGGCUUUCUGGACUGAAACUGACGCUGAGGCGCGAAAGCGUGGGGAGCAAACAGGAUUAGAUACCC
rnacentral:rRNA from 1 species